AAAUUGAAGAGUUUGAUCAUGGCUCAGAUUGAACGCUGGCGGCAGGCCUAACACAUGCAAGUCGAACGGUAACAGGAAACAGCUUGCUGUUUCGCUGACGAGUGGCGGACGGGUGAGUAAUAUCUGGGAAACUGCCUGAUGGAGGGGGAUAACUACUGGAAACGGUAGCUAAUACCGCAUAACGUCGCAAGACCAAAGAGGGGGACCUUCGGGCCUCUUGCCAUCGGAUGUGCCCAGAUGGGAUUAGCUAGUAGGUGGGGUAA
rnacentral:rRNA from 1 species